rnacentral:rRNA from 1 species
CGUGGGUAACCUGCCCAAGAGAUCGGGAUAACACCUGGAAACAGAUGCUAAUACGGACCCUAACAACAGAUGAUGCCUAUCAACUGUUUAAAAGAUGGUUCUGCUAUCACUCUUGGAUGGACCUGCGGUGCAUUAGCUAGUUGGUAGGGUAACGGCCUACCAAGGCGAUGAUGCAUAGCCGAGUUGAGAGACUGAUCGGCCACAUUGGGACUGAGACACGGCCCAAACUCCUACGGGAGGCAGCAGGG